UCGGUCUGCGCGCUGUGUGCUGGGGGCUCUGGGAUGGCGACCGGCUCGGGCGGGCCGCGUGGGCUCCCACGCCGCGACGCGGGGCUGGAGCCCGCCACCCUGAGCCUGGAGAAGCGCCCGCGGCGGCGUCCGAGGGUUCCUGGCCGUGAACGCGCGGAGGGCGGCAGCCUGGCCUCGGCCACAGUCCCUGCGGCACCUCGGGAGGGCCGUAGGCGGCCUUCGGCCUGCGUCCCCUUGCCCGGAAAUGCGGAGAGUCGUUAACUGGAUUUGUAUUUAUUGAUCAUCGACUGUGUGCCGGGGAGUUUUUAAUAGAAGCGGUCUGGGGUUUUUUUCGUGUAAAAAGGCUGCGCGGUAUAGCUGUCUUGACGCCUCCCCUGCCCCGGUGUAAAAUCAGUGUGGAAGCAAAGCGCCAUUCAAGGUGCACGUGAUUUCAGCCGUUUCUAGGUGCAAGCACUCUGCGGGCAUUGAGUAUCGCCAGUUCUGCAGGUAGAAGAUGGAUGCUUGAAGCAUAGGCUGCUGCUAGCUCAGAACCACGUGGGAACACCCAGGUGACUUAAGGAAGUCCUUGGUGAGGAUUUUGAAAAUUUAAUCUUCGCAAGAGUUGAGUGGAUCACUUAGAAUUUCUGGGAACCUGAGGAGUACUGAAAUGAUUGCCUUCGAAUGGUCCAUAAACAUACAUUUAAGACAAUGCAGAUAUGAAUAAAUAUUUUAAUGUG